UCAGGUAGCAAUACCGGCAUAAGGCUCAAUAACACGUCGAUAACCUGCCCUUAAGUCUGGAAUAAGCUCGGGAAACUGAGUGUAAGACCGGAUAGGAAAAUUCGUCUGGAAUGAUUUUUUUCUGAAAGGCAACGCUUAAGGAUGGGUCGGCGGCAGAUUAGGUAGUUGGUGAGGUAACGGCUCACCAAGCCGAAGAUCUGUAGGGGCUCUGAGAGGAGUAGCCUCGAGAAGGGCACUGAGAUACUGGCCCUAGCCCUACGGGGUGCAGCAGGCGCGAAACCUUUCCAAUGCACGAAAGUGUGAGAAGGGAACCCAAAGUGCUUAGUUUUACUAAGCUUUUGUCGAGAGUAAAUAUCUCGGCGAAUAAGCAGUGGGCAAGACUAGUGCCAGCCGCCGCGGUAACACCAGCUCUGCGAGUGGCAAUCUACUUUAUUUGGCCUAAAGCGUCCGUAGCUUGUUUAGUAAAUUUCUUGUGAAAUUGUCCGGCUUAACCGAACAGCGUGCAGGAAACACUGCUAAACUAGGGAUUGGGAGGGGUUAGGAGUAUGCAAAGGGGAGCGGUAAAAUGUUAUAAUCCUUUGUAGACUACCUGUGGCGAAGGCGCCUAACCAGAACAAGUCCGACAGUGAGGGACGAAAGCCAGGGGAGCAAACCGGAUUAGAUACCCGAGUAGUCCUGGCCGUAAACACUGCGAGCUAGGUGUUGCAUAUUCUUUGUGAAUAUGCAGUGUCGAAGCGAAGGCGUUAAGCUCGCCGCCUGGGAAGUACGGUCGCAAGACUGAAACUUAAAGGAAUUGGCGGGGGAGCACUACAAGGGGUGCGGCGUGCGGUUUAAUUUGACUCUACACGGAGAAUCUCACCAGAGGCGACGGCAAGAUGAUAGUCAGUCUGAAGGGCUUACUUGAUGAGCCGAGAGGUAGUGCAUGGCCGCCGUCAGCUCGUGCCGUAAGGUGUCCUGUUAAGUCAGGCAACGAGCGAGACCUGUAUCCACAAUUGCUAACGACUCAUCUUGAGAAUCGAGCACAUUGUGGGGACUGCCUUGGAAACAAGGAGGAAGGUGCAGGCAACGGUAGGUCAGUAUGCUCCGAAUCUUCUGGGCUACACGCGCGCAACAAUGGUGCAGACAAUGGGUUGCAACUCCGAAAGGAGAAGCUAAACCUCUAAACUGCAUCCUAGUCCGGAUUGAGGGUUGUAACUCACCCUCAUGACGUCGGAAUCCCUAGUAAUCGAACGUUAUCAGCGUUCGGUGAAUAUGUCCCUGCUCCUUGCACACACCGCCCGUCAAAACCACCCGAGUAGGGUCUAGAUGAGGCUCAGUUUUGAACUAAGUCGAAUCUAAGCUUUGCGAGGAGGGUUAAGUCGUCACAUGGUA
rnacentral:rRNA from 1 species